rnacentral:ncRNA from 1 species
ACAGUACAAACUGAGCAGACCAUUGACAUAGCAUAAGGUCAAGGAGUCGGGCCGCGAAAGUGGCAGUGGAAUGGAAUUGACACAUCCACGGGACAGU